rnacentral:rRNA from 1 species
GCCUAAUACAUGCAAGUCGAACGAGGUGCCUUUGUAGCAAUACGAGGGUAUCCUAGUGGCGAACGGGUGAGUAACGCGUUGGUGACCUGCCCCAAAGUGUGGGAUACCAGUUCGAAAGGACUGCUAAUACCGCAUGUGGUCAUCGGGUUUAGAAACCGAUGUCGAAAGCAGCAAUGCGCUUUGGGAGGGACCUGCGUCCCAUCAGCUAGUUGGUAGGGUAACGGCCUACCAAGGCGACGACGGGUAGGGGACCUGAGAGGGUGACCCCCCACAAUGGAACUGAAAUACGGUCCAUACACCUACGGGUGGCAGCAGUAGGGAAUAUUGCACAAUGGGCGAAAGCCUGAUGCAGCAACGCCGCGUGCACGAUGAAGGCCUUCGGGUCGUAAAGUGCUUUUCUGGGAGAUGAGAAAGGACAGUAUCCCAGGAAUAAGUCUCGGCUAACUACGUGCCAGCAGCCGCGGUAAAACGUAGGAGGCAAGCGUUAUCCGGAUUCACUGGGCGUAAAGCGUGUGCAGGCGGUUCGGUAAGUUGGGCGUGAAAUCUCCCGGCUUAACUGGGAGAGGUCGUUCAAUACUACCGGACUAGAGAGCAGUAGAGGAAGAUGGAAUUCCCGGUGUAGUGGUGAAAUGCGUAGAUAUCGGGAGGAACACCAGUGGCGAAGGCGAUCUUCUGGACUGCUUCUGACGCUCAUACACGAAAGCUAGGGUAGUAAACGGGAUUAGAGACCCCGGUAAUCCUAGCUGUAAACGAUGUGAACUUGGCGUUGGUGGCUUAAACACCAUCAGUGCCGAAGCAAACGCGAUAAGUUCACCGCCUGGG